GUGUGUCCCAAUAUUCCCCUGCGACAUGGUUCACGUUGGCUACGCUUCUAAGAGUGAGGAUUAUCCCCACAGACGACCACCGAAAAUUAAGCCGACGUGGGAUCUCACAA